rnacentral:rRNA from 1 species
UACAGAGGUCUCGAGCGUUGUUCGGAUUCAUUGGGCGUAAAGGGCGCGUAGGCGGCGGGGUAAGUCUGGUGUGAAAUCUCGGAGCUCAACUCCGAAAUUGCACUGGAUACUGCUCUGCUAGAGGGCUGGAGAGGAGAUCGGAAUUCACGGUGUAGCAGUGAAAUGCGUAGAUAUCGUGAGGAAGACCAGUGGCGAAGGCGGCUCUCUGGAACGCAACUGACGCUGAGACGCGAAAGCGUGGGGAGCAAACAGG